rnacentral:lncRNA from 13 species
AUGAAAUGGAGCCCCCAAACACCAACCGAAAGCACACAGUCCUUCCUUCCCCCAACACUCAGGGGACCCCCCCAUGAAGCCACAGCUCCCCCUCCCCCAGGCGCGGGGAGAGGGGGGGAUUUUAUAAAUAAACCGAAUAGUGACGAAUUAGGGGUGAAAUUGAGUCAAGAGGGAUGUGAGAGACGCGCAGUGUCCCGGUCCCCGUCCUGCUCCUUGUCCCCACCUCUGCCCGUGUCCCAGUCCCUGUCCCGGUCCCCAUCCCUGCCCGUGUCCCUGUCCCUUCUCCCAUUCCCGUUCCCGGUCCCAUCUCCCAUGCCUCUCCCAGUCCCGUUCCCAGUCCCGUUCCUGCUCCCUGUCCCGUUCCCGGUCCCGCUCCCAUCUCCCACGCCUCUCCCAGUCCUGUUCCCAGUCCCGUUCCCGGUCCCGCUCCCAUCUCCCAUGCCUGUCCCUGUCCCGUUUCCAGUCCCGUUCCUGCUCCCUGUCCCGUUCCCGUUCCCGGUCCCGCUCCCAUCUCCCAUGCCUCUCCCAGUCCCGUUCCCAGUCCCGUUCCUGCUCCCUGUCCCGUUCCAGGUCCCGCUCCCAUCUCCCACGCCUCUCCCAGUCCCGUUCCCAGUCCCGUUCCCGUUCCCGGUCCCGCUCCCAUCUCCCAUGCCUCUCCCGUUCCCGUUCCCGGUCCCGCUCCCAUCUCCCACGCCUCUCCCUGUCCCUGUCCCGUUCCCGGUCCCGCUCCCAUCUCCCACGCCUCUCCCUGUCCCUGUCCCGGUCCCGUUCCCGGUCCCGUUCCCGGUCCCGUUCCCAUCUCCCGUUCCCGGUCCCGUUCCCGGUCCCGUUCCCGUUCCCGGUCCCGUUCCCGUUCCCAUCUCCCGUUCCCGGUCCCGUUCCCGUUCCCGGUCCCGCUCCCAUCUCCCAUGCCUCUCCCGUUCCCGGUCCCGUUCCCGUUCCCGUUCCCGGUCCCGUUCCCAUCUCCCAUGCCUCUCCCGUUCCCGUUCCCGGUCCCGGGCCCCGCCCCUCAGCGCUCUCCUCUCAUUGGCUCUCGUUGCCGUUCGGCCCCGCCCCCCGCGCGCUCCCAUUGGACGGCUAAAAGGGGGCGGGACCUCGGCGCGGCGACCUUCAGCCGGGAGGCCGGGGGCCGGCACGUGA